rnacentral:misc_RNA from 1 species
UUGAAUUUUAAUGAAGAGUUUGGUUGUAGCUGGCCCAUUCAUUUGGGCAUGUGCACACCUUCCUCUUUCAUCCCACACACACCUGUGAACCUGUGAGACAGAGAUGGGGAAUUUACUUGCUGCUUUUUGGAAUACAAAGGCAAUAGGUUAUUGGACUCCCCCUCUGUCUACUCAAUUAAUAUAAACUCAAUUUAUUUUAAAACGAAUGUAAUGGAUGUAACACAUCUCAUAC